rnacentral:rRNA from 1 species
CCUACGGGUGGCUGCAGUGGGGAAUAUUGCACAAUGGGGGAAACCCUGAUGCAGCGACGCCGCGUGAGUGAAGAAGUAUCUCGGUACGUAAAGCUCUAUCAGCAGGGAAGAAAAUGACGGUACCUGACUAAGAAGCCCCGGCUAACUACGUGCCAGCAGCCGCGGUAAUACGGAGGGGGCAAGCGUUAUCCGGAUUUACUGGGUGUAAAGGGAGCGUAGACGGAGACACAAGCCUGGAGUGAAAUCCCGGGGCUUAACCCCUGAACUGCUUUGGACACUGUUCGGCUGGAGUGCAGGAGGGGUAAGCGGAAUUCCUAGUGUAGCGGUGACAUGCGUAGAUAUUAGGAGGAACACCGGUGGCGAAGGCGGCUUACUGGACUGUAACUGACGUUGAGGCUCGAAAGCGUGGGGAGCAAACAGGAUUAGAUACCCUGGUAGUC